AUGGCAGUCUUUAGGAAGAACAGCGUUGUUGCCGUGUGCGUGGGGGCUCUCAUGCUCAUGACCACCCUUCUCUCCUCGGAAGGUUCAGAGUUUGUUGGAUGUAUGGAGCCCCACCAGAACUGCUUCCCAGAUGACUGCCAGAAGACAUGCGCGGACAAUAUUAUUGGAAAACAUGUGAAAGGUUCCUGCGAACCGGAGCAUGGCCCGCUGAAACCGUAUCCCGCGCUUGUGUGUUGCUGCUAUAGAGACGGUCUCCGAUCAUGA
rnacentral:rRNA from 1 species